UUGUUGUGCUGACUGGCAACCUGUUGCAGAUUAUAAGCAUGGGACUGUUUAUUGGUCCCAGUUCUUUCAUUAAGUGUUACAGGCGCCGGAUGCCAUAUAAUGGUGCCAUGUGCAGUGAUAUUUUGAAAGUUUCCAAAGGAUGGUUGGUAACUUUAAAGAAAAAAUGUUUGGGAGAAACGAGAAAACCACCCGCACCUUCACCUUGUCCUCUCCGCCACCAGAUGACCAGCAGUGAACAAACAAUCAAAACACACACAGACCCCGUACCUUCAAAGGAUCCACUGGCAGGCCCACAGACCUGCAGUGCAGUGAAGGCACCACGCCAACCUGUGCCGGGCUCCCACCACAGGCCCGUCCAAAACGUUUAAUCAAAAGGGACACUCUCCACUUGGUUCCGAAUGAAAAGGAAGCUGUUGGCCCAUGCUGCGCACCUUGGCAGCUCGACGGAUAUAAACUCAGAUUGGUCUAAUCUCCACUACAGUGCGAGGACAUGGGAGAGGAGGCCUGUGAUACAAUCUGCAUCUUCUAGCAGGUCAUUGAAGCUUUGGGGACAGGGUUGAUGGUGAUGUGACCUGGCGCGGCCUAAUCAGCCUUCCUGUCUACCAUCAGCACUGAUGGAUGUUUAUCGUCUCCUCGGUACAGGGCCAGCAUGUCACUUCCAGCAGAUGCUGAUUCAAGCCGCUGAAUGAAUGUCAGAGGGAAAAUUACAGUAAUUUCACUCCUCAGAAUUUAUUGUAGCAUCAUUAUACUCCAAUAUUAAGUUCACCUUUUUCUGAGGGACUCUUUAUUUAGACACUGCUGUACAGUUUCUCUGGCAAGCAUACCACAUGUAAGUCUUUUUUAUAAUUUUACAUUUGACGUGGCCUCUUUUCUUGUGUCAAUUUAUAGAAGCCAACUUGACGCUUCCUUUCUAAUAUGGUGCUAUGACAAACUCAUCGUUUGGUCUAUAAAAUCCCAGUAUCUCAAAGUCCAAGGUGAUGUCUUUAAGAGUUUUGUUUUGUCAGUCCAAACCCAAAGAUAUUCACUUUAAUAUGAUAUAAAACAGAAAAAAGCAGGAGGCUGAAAACAAAACAUUUUCUUUUGCCGUUUCUGCAUGGAGAAAUUACCUGAAAGAUUAAUUGAUUAUCAAAAUAAUUGAAAAAUAUUUAUUAGUUAGUUGACGAAAUUUCACAAAAAAAAUGUUAUAGGCAUUACAAAUGUAAAUAGCUUCACAACAAAUACAUGUAAAGUCAUAUUUACACUUUGGUGGAUCCAUUUGUUCCUGCGAGAUGAGUUUUACACAUUUGUGAAACGCCUCCUGUCAGUUUUGAGGCCAUGUGACUUCUCUUUUAUUUGUUAGCAGAUUUUUGUCGUUUUUCCGACCUACGUGAAAAUGACAAAUACAACCGCACCCGCUUCAUAUUCCGACAGCCUCGAUGACUUCAUUCCCCUGGAAACCAACGAGGUCACACAAAGUAUGACGGCUACAGUAGUACUGAAGUUACUGUUCAUCAGACCACAAAUGAGACUAGAUUAGCUACAGCAGCCUGCAGUGUCACUGCCUAACUCCCCACAGUUUCGGAGAUGGACAUUCAGUAAGCGGCUGUAGCAACUGGAAUUCAGCCAGCACAAACCCCAGGGCCCAAAGCUCGACAAAAAGACCCAAAAAAAAAGACAAAAUUGAAAAACAUCUUUAUGCUCUUCUUCAUAAUGAACCAGAUUAAUGGAAAGAGAUUAAUUGCUCA